rnacentral:lncRNA from 1 species
AAGGAUAUUAUGUGUCCCCAAGCAGUAUUUGUAUGUGUGAUCCAAAACAAUACGAUCUUCUUUAAUCAUCUUUUUUUUAAUUCACUCAUAGACGUUGGCAGUACCAAAAAUAUUUUCUCCGGUAAAAUAGACAUAAAAAUCACACACAAAAGUCAUUGUAUUGAUUAUCACGUAAUCACUUAAAAUGGUAAAUUAAUUUUGAUAAUAUGACUGUUUUUUUUUUUCUCAAAACAGAAAAUCUUAUGUAUUUCUGUAGUUGUCUUUAACAAGUUCAAAGAUGAGGGAGGGAGUUUCAUGUCUACCUUGGGGAGUGAUGUGAAAGGACUGUUAAGCUUGUACAACGCAGCCAAUCUUGGGACUCAUGGGGAGAUCAUUCUUGAUGAAGCCAUCUCUUUUACGAGGAAUUCCCUAGUGUCUGCAUCAGCCGAUCUUAAACCACCAUUAACAACGCAAGUGUCUCUCGACCUCGAGACACUUCUCUGUAGAAGAUUUAAAGAGUUGCCAUAAUUUUAUAGGAAAGACGCACAGAAAGAAGUGAUUAAUGGUUUCUGCUUUAGAUUGACAAAAGGGACAAGUAGUAGCAUUACUGCACACUCUUAGUUGAGACGAUCAAUCCGACAAUGAGAGGUGGCGGUGCAAAAGUUUCCAACAAAAAAAUUUAACCCGAGGCAACACGGGAAGCUUCCACAAACAAUACAACUAGUCCACGUUAGGAUCAACCAUCCCAACCGAGAAGCAAGAAAAUGAUAGGCAGACUUAGCAGAACAGACCCUCUUAUUAUCUAGAUUCUACUACUAAAAAUUAUCAUGUGAUAUAUAGAUUAACAAUGAGAUUAGAACCACCAAAGAUCGAUCACUAGCAUGUAUGUUGAUGAAAGCAUGCUUGAAUGGACUAGGAGAAUCUAAAAUAUAGUUAACUUUGAAAACAUCAAUAAUAGAAAUAUCACCAAAAAAUUUAGUGAACUCUCCUCUUAAACGUUCAAGAGCGAGAAGAAACAAACCCGAUUCCAGCUUUGCCUUAAUAAUUUUGAAUAUUCCAAGGAUAAAUCACAGCAUAUUUAUGUCUAACCAUUUUAUCUCAUAUACUAUCAAUGAUGGAAAGAUAUUGGCCUCUAUUGAGCUUGAAGUGUAUAUUUCAUAAGAAAGGUUAUCAGUCCCAAGACCUAGCAUAUCUAGAAAGAAUAUCCCCAUCCCAAUUCCAUGAUAGAAUGUGCAUACCCUUGGAAGAACCACAAUUGACCCAGAAAGUAUCUAGGAUUGCUAAUAAUAUUAUUCAAAAUAUCAUUAUCCAUCCAAGAGUCGCCUAAGCUGCAUCUUGUAGUCCAAAUCACUCAUCUUGUGGUCAUGCUAUGUAAUAGGGGUAAUAUUUGUUCCAUAUCAAAUCGAAGUUGAUGAUUAUUCACUAAGAUUGCUCCAUACUUGUAGAUAAAUGACUUGAGUGUCAGUGUGACUAGGUCGAGAAAUUUAUUCAACCUUAACCUUUAUACAGAUUGAUUACGGAGCAUGCAUCCGAGUCCACAUUAGGACUUGAGGAGCAUCCAAGUCUCUUCAUCAACCAACUUAGACCUUUGAAGUGCCUACAGUUACUGUCACAAGGGACGCCGGAUUUGUGCUAGUCUCAUCAAAUGGACCAUGGCAUCACAAUUCGGAUUUGUUGCCAAUGAGUCACUCAAACCGAAUAUGGAACAAUUGAUGUGGCAGAUAAAAAACAUGAAUAACGGAGAGCGACACGAGAGGCAAUAAAACACAAAAAGACCUGCACGUUUGGAAUCCUUGCGUCUCUUCAUUUCUUAUGUCGAUGGCGCCCAUGCAUGGAAACCAAUUGGCAUUUGUAAUGCUAACGUCUCUUCAUAUCUUUUGUCGGUGGCUAUGGAAACCAAAUCGACACAUUUGUAAUCCUUGCGUCGCUUCCCUAUCACCACGAAGUUGCUAUUUAUUUUUGUUAGAACAGAUACAGCCGAGUUCAAUUUUGAUAGUAUGAACCAUGAGUAGAGAUAUAUGAUGAUAAUAUCUUUUCUUUCGCGUCGUGUGAAACUUGGUUUAAUAGGUAAUCUCCACAAAGUGGAGGAGAGUCGUGGCUCGUAUUAGUCUUCCUCCUCAACAGACGAAGAUGUUGUAUCCUCAUAAAUUCCAACACAAAACAGCAGGCUCUCCGUCGCCACCUCGCAUGUUUAAUUAGUCUUCACAUAAAAUAAGAAUGGAGAGUCUGAGUCUGCAAUCACUUGUUCCAGAUGAUGAGCUGAUGGUUCGCAAGUCUGUGAGCUAUCGUCCGAGGCUUGGGGCCGACUACUUUAUCCAACAUGGCCAGUCCGUCACUCCAACAUCGUUAUGUAACCCGGCCAUCCUAUUUGCCAAAGAUGUUUCCAGUUUUCAGCAAGAAGGUCACCUGGAAAGAGGGGUGUUGAUAAUUUAGCUCCAGCUAAAUAGCACUCAUGCUUAAACUGGUCCUUCAUCGGCAUUGUUGGGGUUUCCUGCGGUUUCAGUACCAUGAAAAAUCUCCCUUUUCUCGUCUAUUGCAGGAGGAGUGUGAUACAAGGAUAAAAGAGAGAGCUGCGGAACUGAUGGAGCAGAUAAGAAGCAUGUCCAAGGAUCCUACUGACAUCUUGCAAACUAUGAAUUUGGUCGAUUCAAUCCAGCUUCUUGGAUUGGAUUAUCGCUUCGAGAAGGAAAUAAGUGAAGUGUUAAACCAUAUCCAUGAUGCCCAUAUUGAUGACCAUGUUCUUUGCGACACUGCUCUCCGAUUUCGACUGCAGAGACAACAAGGGUAUUUAUUAUGUCUCCCCUGGUAACAUGUUCAUUUCCUUAAGUAGCUGAAUUUGUAUGUUUUGUCCUGAUAAUUGUGUUUUUACCUUGUCUUACAGACAAAAUUUGGACUUUGUUGUCACCAUUUAUUCAAUCCAACUUGGCAGUACUAUAUCUACACGUAUCAAAGACAUAGUUUUGAUGAUCAAAGAAUGGAAAUAUUUUAACGCCGACAUAAAAAAAAAGUUAUGACUCUAUUUUUUAGUUGCCAAACCAUAAUAUUUUGAUCAGAACAAGUGUUGUCGGAUUAAAAUUUUUUGUCAUGUAUCAAAAUAAUCGUGGAGCAACUAUAGCUGACAUCAUUAUUACAACAAGGCGGAAAACCUCAUAAAAUCCAACUCCCAAGAGAUCACUACUCUUGAAGCCAAGGAUGCCUCUCUUUUCCUCUCUCAUGAAGGGUCUAAACUCACUUUACUAUGUAAUAAGGGCAUAAUCCUUAACAGACAACUUCGUUACUCAACUCCAAAUUUUUCAUAAAAUAUUCAACCUCAAGGAGAUGAGGAAUUCUAUCCACCAUAAAAUUUUCCACCUCAAGGAGGAGAUGAACUCCAUCCACCGGAUCAUCAACCAUGACUUGAAUGAAGUCAAACACCGAUUGUCUCUUCUUUUGCUUCUUGGGACACCAACCUUUGGACUGCUAUUAACACGUCUCUCCUCUCUAAUAGCAUACUUGUCCUAAUAUCCAAGUAUUUUUUCUACUAAUCAUAUCAGCUUUCGUAAACCAUUCUCAUUGGAUGAGAUUAUUAUUGCUCUCAAGCAAUGGGCCUUGGCAAGAGUCCUGGACCAAAGGGGUUCAUUGUCGAAUUUUACCAUGGGUUCUAGAAUGAAUUAAAAUUCCUGAUUCAAUAGGCAUUUUCUAGCUUUCACAAUGAUUGUCACAUUUCACCCAGUUGGGAGAAAUCCCUCAUUCCCAAAAGUAUCAAUGUCACCAUGAUCGUAGAUCAUAGACCCUUCACCCUUUGUAACAGCAUUUGCAAAAUAAAUCCAAGUUCUAGCCAAUAAAGAAAGAUUCCUCUCGUUAUCCUAAAAUUUAACUGGGAAGAAAGAUUUUGACUCAAUCUCUUUGGAAGCAUCAUUCUUAUCCUUUGGGAAAUAAAUUUUCUAUCCAAAUUCAUCGAUUGGAUCUAUGCCUGUAUCCUAUAUCAUUCUUUCUCUUGCUUCUUUAAUGGUAAGUUCUCUCUCCUGUCGUAAGUUCUCACAUGGAGGGCAAUAGGGCUAUCUCAGUGAAUGUUGUCUGUGAUAUUAACUUACCUAGAAAUAUUAAGCAUGAAGAUGGGUGGUUACAUCGGUGUUGAGAUAUCUCACUCAUGUAAUCAACUAGAACGUGCAAUCAAUAUGGCCAGUCACUGUAUUGUUGAUUACAAUCGAUCCAAUGUACAUUAGACAUUCGAAACACAUCUCAUAGACGACAUCAGCUUUUAUUGCAAGCCAUGCAGUUGAUUGAUGCCAUCCAACUUCUUGGAGUGGAUUAUCACUUUGAGAAGGAGAUAAGCGAAGCAUUAAGCAGAGUCUAUGAUGCAGAUUUCAACAACUAUGGUCUCUACGAGCAACUACUUAGACAACAUGGGUAUAACAUAUUUCCAGGUAAUAUUCUUCGAUCUUUAAAAGUGAGAAACUAUAAGAACAUAGAAGUGCUAAAUAGUUCGAUAGUCAGCAUUUUUUUUUUUUGAGGUUAUCAUAUCGGCAAUAGUAUCCUUACCCUUCACGAACUAUAAUUAAUCCAAGAAUGGACAUAAUCACUUGGCUUGUACUCAGAAGUUCAUGUCUUCCUUGCACUACCAAGUCUAAAGAUGACGAACUAUAAUUAAUCCGAUAACAUAAUUCGUCGUGGGCUUCAUCACUUGGUACAUAAUGCAGAUGCUUUUAACAAGUUUAAAGAUGAGCAAGGGAGCUUCAUGUCUUCCAUGAAGAGUGACGUAAAUGUACUACUAAGUCUAUAUAAAGAGGCUUAUCUAAGGAUACACGGGUAUGUUGGGAAUAGUGGAAUUUUUUCUUUUCCUCUAUGUGUAUUAAAAUGGAUUUCUCUUCAAAAUAUCCACUUAUUAUCAAAAGUAAAUAUUAACCAGAACAACAUAAAUAAUAGAACAAUAAAUCAAACAAAGUGAGAUUCUAAAUUUUUAUGUAGAAAAUCAAAUGCGGGAAAAAUCAUGGGACCGUAAUCCACCUCAAACUUCCACUAUCACCAAUAAUGAUAAUAGGUUUAUAGUAAAUCUUCUCCAGAAUAACCAGAGGAUCAUAAUAACAUCAAGAAUAUGGCUCAACAUUAACAUAUCAUCAUCACCAUAGAUGGAUUUCAUCAAAAAAUAUAUUUUAGGUCUCACAAAGUGGGUAUAGCAGGAAAGCACCUUAGAGAUGAUAAACUACAGAUCGGUACCAUUAAAAUUGUAGAGCUUUCGCAAGGAUUCUUUAUAUAAAAUUUGAGCCAAAACCAUCAAAGUUUAACUGCUCAAUCAUCUAGCAAAAGCCUCAAAAUCUUAACUUUUUCUCCUUUUCUCUCUCUACUCCUUUUUUCAGUGUUGCCAUUGUUUGCUGCACGCACACCUCUCUCUCCAUAGCCCUCGCUUCGCACAUCUAUUUUAUUUCCCUUUUUCUUUCUUUUUUUUAAUAUAUCAGAUUUAGGCUCAGUGCCCAAAUCAUCUAGUCCAAACCCACAUAUAGGCUAGAUCCAACAAUUCUUCCCCUCCAGCUCAUAUGGUGGGCUGUACAAAGCUCGCUCUUCGCUUACAUACUUUAAGCUUCUUCUUAGGCAAACACUUUGUUAACAUGUCUGAUUCAUUCUCAUUAGUAUGUACUUUUUCUAAGUGCAAUUCUUUCAUUUCAAGCACAUCACGAAUCUAGUGAUAUCUUAUAUCAAUAUGCUUGGAUCUUGAAUGGUAUGUUGAAUUUUUGGAGACAUGAAUGACACUGACUGUCACAGUAAAUAGUAUAUCUUUCCUGUUUCAAACUCAAUUCCUAUAGAAACUUUUUUCAUCCACAAAGCUUCUUUGCAUGCUUUAGUAAUUGCUAUAUAUUCUGCUUAUGUAGUGGAUAGAGCAAUACAAUUCUAUAACUUAGACAACCAAGAGAUUACUCCCCCUGCAAACGUCAUCAAGAAUCCUGAUGUGGAUUUCCUGGAAUCAGUAUCAUCUGCCAUGUCUACAUCUAUGUACCCCUCUAGCACAGGUUCAUCAUUGCCAAAAUAUAAACACAAAUUGGAAGUAUCUCUUAGAUAUCUUAAUAUCAAUUUCAUUGCUACCCAAUGUUCCUUGCCGGGAUUAGAGAGAAAUCGACUGACAACUCCAACUGCAUGAGCGAUAUCUGGCCUAGUACAAACCAUAGCAUACAUCAAACUAGCUACUGUAGAUGAGUAAGACACUCUGGAUAUUUCUUCUUUUUCUUUCUCACUUGUAGGAUACUAUUUUGAACUAAGCUUGAAAAUGAAACAAACUGUCUUGGCUUUACUCAUAUUGAAUAUUUCAAGAACAUUUUCAAUGUAAGUCUCCUAAGAUAGUCAGAUCUUUCCUUUCUUCCUAUCACGAAGAAUCUUCAUGCCAAGUAUUUAUUUUGCUGAUCCUGAGUCUUUUAUGGUUAAAGACUUUCUUAGCUCUCUUUUAAGCUUCUCAAUUUUACUAGUAUCAUGACCAACAAUCAGUAUAUCAUCAACAAAUAGCAGGAGAAUAAUAAAAUCAUCAUAUGAAAACUUCUUUGUAAAUACACAAUGAUCAAAUGUGGUUCUGUUGUACCCUUGACUCAUCAUAAAGGAAUUAAACUUCUUGUAUCACUGUCUCGGUGCUUUUUUGAGUCCAUAUAAGGUUUUCCUAAGCUUGCACACUAGAUUUUCUUUUUCUUUGACUUUAAAACAUUCUGGUUUCACCAUAUAAAUUUCUUCUUCUAAGUCGUCAUAAAGAAAUGUUGUUUUCACAUCAAGUUGCUCAACUUUUAAAUUCAAGUAGGCAGUCAAACCAAGAACAACUUGGAUAUAGGACAUUUUCACCACAAGAAAAAAUAUUUUUUCAAAGUCAAUACAUUUCUUUCGACUGAAUCUUUUUACAACUAGUCGUGUCUUGUAUCUUUGUUAUGAGCUAUUAUUUUCAAUUUGUAAACUCAUUUGUUCUUGAGAGCUUUCUUUCCUUUAAGCAACUUUACCGAGUCAUAUGUGUGAUUCUCAAAUAAGGAUCUCAUCUCUUCCUGCCUGGUUUUAGCCCACUCAUAUUUGUGCUCAUGUAGAAUAGCUUCUUGGUAAGUUUCUAGCUUUCCCCUAUCAGUAAAUAUAAUAUACUCAUAUGGAGAAUAUAUGGUAAAUGGUUGUCGCUCUCUUGUGGAUCUUCACAAUAGAAUCUUAACUAGUGGUGACAGUGCUUGUUCAAUUGGUUCAACAUCAUCAACUAUAGGAGUAUCAUCAUUGACAUUGUCACCAUAAUCUUCUUGUUCAUCGCCCCUAUGAUCAUCAUGAACUACAGAUGAAGGAACCAGACCCAAACUCCAAGGAAUAUAAACAAAGGUUUUUGACUUCUCAACAUUGUUACUAUCAUAAAAAAUUUGGUCUUCAAGAAACACAACAUCUCUGCUUCUAAUAAUCUUCUUAUUCAUUGAAUCCCAUAAUCUAUACUCGAACUCUUCAUGACUAUACCACAAGAAAAUACAUGCUUUUGCCAUAUUUAAAGCUUGGACCUCUCAUCUUUGGGAAUAUGAAUAAAUGCUUUAUAUCCAAAGACUCUCAAAUGAUUAUAAGAUAUAUUUUUCUCUUUCCAUUCUCUCUCUAGAACAUCACGUUUUAGAGGAACUAAUGGAGAAAGAUUUAUCAGGUUAACUAUAGUUCUCAUAGCCUCCCCCAAAAUGACUUAGGUAACUUGGCAUGAGAAAACAUACACCUAAUCCUUUCUUCAAUGGUUCUGUUCAUCCUUUCUGCCACACCAUUUUGCUAAGGAGUUUUAAGAACUGUUUUCUCAAGCCUGAAACCAUGAAACUUGCAGUAAUUCUCAAAAGGACCUUUGUGCUUGCUACCAUUAUCUACUCGAACACACUUUAGCUUUAUGCUAGUUUCUCUUUCAAUACUAACAUAGAACUCUUUGAAAAUAUCGAGUACCUGGUCUUUAGAUUUCAAAGCAAAAGUCCAAACUUUUUAGAAUGAUCAUCAAUGAAAGUAACAAAAUAAAGAUCACCUCAAAGAGUUCUAGUUUGCAUAGUACAUACAUCAGUGUGAAUCAAAUCAAUAAAAAUUGAAUAUCUAGUUAAGAUUUAAAGAGUUGCCAUAAUUUAAUAGGAAAGACGCACAGAAAGAAGUGAUUAAUGGUUUCUGCUUUAGAUUGACAAAAGAGAGAAGUAGUAGCAUUACUGCACAAUCUUAGUUGAGAUGAUCAAUGAGAGGUGGCACAUAUUUAGUUCUAACCAUUUUAUCUCAUAUACUAUCAAUGAUGGAAAGAUAUUGACCUCUGAUGAGCUUGAAGUGUAUAUUUCAUAAGAAAGGUUAUCAGUCCCAAUUCCUAGCAUAUCUAGAAAGAAUAUCCCUAUCCCAAUCCCAUGAUAGAAUGUGCAUACCCUUGGAAGAACCACAAUCGACCAAAAAAGUAUCUAGGAUUGCUAAUAAUGUUGUUCAAAAUAUCAUUAUCCAUCCAAGAGUCACUUAAGCUGCAUCUUGUGCUCCAAAUCACUCAUCUUAUGGUCAUGCUAUGUGAUAGGAGUAAUAUUUGUUCCAAUACAUACUCAGACAUGUGACAGCCUAGCCCAGAUUAAACCCAUUAUAAAAAGCUCUUCACAUCAAAUCGAAGUCAAUGACUAUUCAUUAAGAUUGCUCCAUACUUUAGGUAAAUGACUUGAGUGUCGAGGUCGAGAAAUCCAUCCAACCUCAACCUUUGUACAGAUUGAUUACGGAGCAUGCAUCUGAGUCCACAUUAGGACUUGAGGAGCGUCCAAGCCUCUUCGUCAACCAACUUAGACCUUUGAAGUGCCCACAGUUACUGCCACAGGCGACCAUGGCAUCACAAUUCGGAUUUGUUGCCAAUGAGUCACUCAAACCAAAUAUGGACCAAUUGAUGUGGCAGAUAAGAAACAUGAAUAACGGAGAGCGACACAAGAGGCAAUAAAACACAAAAAUAUCUGAAUCCUUACGUCUCUUCAUAUCUUAUGUCGAUGGCGCCCAUGCAUGGAAACCAAUUGGCUUUUGUAAUGCUUACGUCUCUUCAUAUCUUUUGUCGGUGGCCAAAUUGACACAUUUGUAAUCCUUGCGUCGCUUCCCUAUCACCACGGAGUUGCUAUUUAUUUUAGUUAGAAAAGAUACAGCCGACUUCAAUUUUGAUAGUAUGAACUGUGAGUAGAGAUUUAUGAUGAUAAUAUCUUUUCUCUUUCGUGUCGUGUGAAAUUUGGUUUAGUAGGUAAUCUCCACAAAGUAGAUGAGAGUCGUGGCUCAUAUUUGUCUUCCUCCUCGACAGACGAAGAUUUUAUGUCCUCAUAAAUUCCAACACAAGGCAGCAGGCUCUCCGCCACCUCGCAUGUUUAAUUAGUCUUCACAUAAAGUAAGUAUGGAGAGUCUGAGUCUGCAAUCACUUGUUCCCGGAGAUGAGCUGAUGGUUCGCAAGUCUGUAAGCUAUCGUCCGAACGUUUGGGGCGACUACUUUAUCCAACAUGGCCGGUCCGUCACUCCAACAUCGUUAUGUAACCCGGCCAUCCUAUUUGUCAAAGAAAUUUCCAGUUUUCAGCGAGAAGGUCACCUGAAAAGAGGGGUGUUGAUAAUUUAGCUCCAGCUAAAUAGCACUCAUGCUUAAACUGGUCCUUCAUCGGCAUAGUUGGGGUUUCCUGCGGUUUCAGUACGAUGAAAAAUCUCCCUUUUCUCGUCUAUUGCAAGAGGAGUGUGAUACAAGGAUAUAAGAGAGAGCUGCGGAACUGAUGGAGCAGAUAAGAAGCAUGUCCAAGGAUCCUACUGACAUCUUGCAAACUAUGAAUUUGGUCGAUUCAAUCCAGCUUCUUGGAUUGGAUUAUCACUUCCAGAAGGAAAUAAGUGAAGCGUUAAACCAUAUCCAUGAUGCCCAUAUUGACGACCAUGGUCUUUACGACACUGCUCUCCGAUUUCGACUACUGAGACAACAAGGAUAUUAUGUCUCCCAUGGGAACAUGUUCAUUUCCUUAAGUAGCUGAAUUUGUAUGCUUUGUCCUGAUAAUUGUGUUUUUACCUUGUCUGAGAGACAAAAUUUGGACUUUGUUGUUACUAUUUAUUCAAUCCAACUUGGCAGUACUAUAUCUACACGUAUCAAAGACAUAGUUUUGAUGAUCAAAGAACCGAAAUAUUUUAGCGCCGACAUCAAAAAAAUGUUAUUGUUAGAAUUAAACUUGUUCAAGUAUUAGAAAGAGGUUCAUUUCAUCAAAAGAAAUGUUCAUUGCAUCAAGAGGGAGAUUCAUUACAUCAAGAAGAAAAAAUGGAUUAAAAGUCUAUGGAAGGAAAAGUCAAAUUGGUUAUUGGUUCUUGAAAGAAUUUCUUGAAAGAGAAUGAUUCAUCUUAAAUACAAUUAAUAUAAUGUAUCUUUGGGGAGUAUAUAAACCCCAUAUGUUGGGUCAUGAGUGUAAUAGAGUUUCUGAAAUUUGUAAAGAGUUUUCUUGAGAGAAAUAUAGAAGAGUAAACCUUAUCCUACUCUUCCUCUGUUUGAUAUUUCCAUCCCCUCUUCCUAUCAACAUCAACAUUUGGUAUCAAAGCAUAGGUUAAGCUAUGACCUCUUCCUUAAGUGUCAUCCAACUCCAAAUCCCCAGAUUGACAAACGAAAAUUAUGACAUAUGGUACAUCCAAAUGAAGAUUCUUUUAGGCUCCCAAGAUGUAUGGGAGUUUGUAGAAAAUGGAUUUGCUGAACCAAGUCCAGCAGAAGAAGGAGCAAUGAAUGCAGAAGGAAGAAAACAAUUCAAAGAAAGAAGGAAGAAGGAGAAAAAGACUUUGUUCACAAUCUACCAAGGGCUUGAUGAUACAAUGUUCGAGAUCAUCGCUCCAGCAAAUACUUCAAAGGAGGCUUGGGAAAUGCUUCAAAAAGCAUUCGGUGGUGUUGAUAAGGUAAAGAAACUUCGUCUACAAGUUUUACGAGCCGAGUUUGAAAAACUACAACAAGAUACUUCUGAAACUAUUUCUGAUUACUUCUCAAAGAUCAUUUUCAUUAUUCAUCAAAUGAGACGAAAUGUUGAACAAGUAAAUGAUCAUAGAGUAAUAGAAAAAAUAUUGAGAUCUCUAGAUCCGAAAUUUGAUUUUAUUGCUGUUGCGAUUGAAGAAUCUAAAGAUUUGGGAAAAAGGUCUUUAGAAGAACUUAUGGGUUCCCUUCAAGUUCAUGAACAGAGGAUUACAAAAAGAGGAGAAGACAAAACUAUAGAGCAAGCACUACAAGCUAAGUUUGCUUUUGAAAAUAAAGGAGAAUCAAAUUCUCAAAGAGGAAGAGGACGAGGACAAAGAGGAAGAGGAGGCAGAAAUAAGACCAAUCAAGAAUCUCCAAAUAGUGAAGAUGUUGGAGAAAAUUCUAGCCAAAGAGACCGAGGUUAUGGUCGAGGACGUGGGUGAGGCCGUGGACAUGACAAAAACUCUAAAAGGUCUGAAAUACAAUGCUAUGUUUGUAAAAGGUAUGGACAUUACUCUUAUGAAUGUUAUUAUAAUCCUAACAAUCAAGGUGAUAAAGCAAAUUUUGUUGAGGAAGAAAAGAAUAAAAAUCAAGUUUUGCUAAUGAGUUAUAACAAUUUGAAAGAUGAUCAGUCUAUGACAUGGUAUCUUGAUACAGGAGCCUCAAAUCACAUGUGUGGCAUCAAAGAGCUAUUUUCAGAAAUAGAUACAGGUUAUUCUGGGAACAUUACAUUUGGUGAUUUGUCUCAAAGACCAGUAAGAGGCAAAGGUAAAAUUCUUCUUGAACUUAAUAAUGGCAAGGAAUUAUGCAUUUCAGAUGUUUAUUAUGUUCCUGAUAUGAAAAAUAAUAUUUUAAGCUUGGGACAAUUACUUGAAAAAGGUUAUGAUAUUAAAAUGAAAGAUAUGGCUCUCUCAAUUCAUGACAAGAAUAAAAUAUUGAUAUCACAUGUGAAAAUGACAAGGAAUAGAAUGUUUCCUCUACAUUUAAGUAUUUUUGAUCAAUCAAAUUAUUUUAAAGCUGAUAUUGAGUAUAUUUCUAUACUUUGGCAUCUUAGAUAUGCUCACUUAAAUUUUGAAGCUUUGAAACUUCUAGAUAAGUAUAAUAUGGUGACAAGAAUGCCAAAAAUUGAUCGCCCAGCAAAAUUGUAUGAAGUAUGUGUCAUGGGUAAACAAGAAAGAAAGCCUUUCAAAGUGAGAAGAACAAAAAGAGCAUGACAUCGACUUGAUCUGGUGCACUCAGAUAUUUGUGGCCCUAUCAAUCCAGUAUCACUUGGAGGAAGCAGGUAUUUUCUUACAUUCACUGAUUAUUAUAGUGGCAAAACUUGGGUUUACAUGUUAAAAGAAAAGAAAGAAGUUUUAAGCAAAUUCAAAGAGUUUUUGGGUUUAGUUGAAAGACAAAGUUAUUGUAAAAUUAAAUGUUUAAGGACAGAUAGGUGUGGUGAAUAUAUAUCAAAUGAAUUUGAAAGUUUUUGUAGAAAUAAUAGAAUUCUACAUCAAUUCACCAUGCCAUACACACCUCAACAAAAUGACAUCUCAGAAAGAAAAAAUAGGACUAUCCUUAAUAUGGUCCGAUGCAUGUUAAAGGAAAGAAAAAUUCCUAAAGAAUUUUGGAGAGAUGCUGUUGCUUGUGCAGUUUAUUUGCUUAACAGGUUUCCAACAAAGCGAAUUGGUAAUGUUACACCAGAAGAAGCAUGGAGCUUAUAAAAACCAAGAGUAGAUCAUUUGAGGAUUUUUGGAAGUAUUGCAUUUGCCAAGAUACCAGAAGAAAAGAGAACAAAAUUGGAGGAUAAAAGUCAUAAAUGCAUUUUGCUAGGUUAUCUAGAGAAUUCCAGUGGUUAUAAACUCUACAAUCCUAUCACAAAUAAAGUUGUGAUGUCAAGAGAUGUUGAGUUUGAUGAACAACAGAUUUGGAACUGAAAAAGUGAUGAGCAGCAUAAGAAAGCUGUAGCUUCAGAAGAAGAUGAUAUAAUACAAACAAACACCGAAGUGAUUUUGCCAGAAUUAUCACCUAGAUCAGCUAGGUCACAUGAUUCAAGAAGUCCAAUUAUAAGAAGGACAAGACCGAUUCAGGACCUAUAUGAUGUGACUCGAAUGAUUGAUACUAACAAUGAUGAACUUUCUUUAUUUUGUCUUUUUGCAGAAUAUGAUCCAUUAACCUUCAAAGAAGCUUAUAGAGAUGAAAAAUGACGAUAAGCUAUGAAUGAAGAUAUUCAUGCCAUUAACAAAAAUAAUACAUGGGAGCUUACUACACUUCCAGAAGACCACCAAGCUAUCGGUGUUAGGUGGAUCUUCAAAAUAAAAAGAAAUGCAAAAGGAGAGGUGGAGAAAUACAAGGCCAGAUUGGUUGCAAAGGGAUAUAAAUAACAAUAUGGAAUUGAUUAUGAAGAAGUAUUUGCACCAGUUACUUGAUUGGAGACAGUAAGAUUACUUAUCUCUCUAGCAGCUCAAAUGAAAUGAAAAAUUUUACAAAUGGAUGUCAAAUCAACAUUUCUUAAUAGAGUUCUUAAAGAAGAGGUAUAUAUUCAACAACUUUGAAAGAAACUUGGCAUGCUAGAUGGAACAAGUUUAAGGGGGGAGAAUGUUGGAAUUAAACUUGUUCAAGUAUCAUAAAGAGGUUCAUUUCAUCAAAAAAAAUGUUCAUUGCAUCAAUAGAGAGAUUUAUUACAUCAAGAAGAAAAAAUAAAUUAAAAGUCUAUGAAAGGAUAAGUCAAAUUGGUUAUUGGUUCUUGAAAGGGUUUCUUGAAAAAGAAUGAUUCAUCUUGAAUACAAUUAAUAUAAUGUAUCUUUGGGGAGUAUAUAAACUCCAUAUGUUGGGUCAUGAGUAUAAUAGAGUUUCUGAAAUUUGUAAAGAAUUUUCUUGACAGAAAUAUAGAAGAUUAAACCUCGUCCUACUCUUCCUCUGUUUGAUAUCUCCAUCCCCUCUUCCUAUCAACAUCAACAGUUAUGACUCUAUUUUUAUAGUCGCCAAACCAUAAUAUUUUGAUCAGAACAUGUGUUGUCAGAUUAAAAUUUUUUGUCAUGUAUCAAAAUAAUCUUGGAGCAAUUAUAGCUGACAUCAUUAUUACAACAAGGCGGAAGACCCUAUAAAAUCUAACUCCCAAGAGAUCACUGCUCUUGAAGCCAAGGAUGCCUCUCUUUCCCUCUCUCAGGAAGGGUCUAAACUCACUUUACUAUGUAAUAAUGGCAUAAUCCUUAACAGACAACUUCAUUACUCAACUCUAAAUUUUUCAUAAAAUAUUCAACCUCAAGGAGAUGAGGAAUUCUAUCCACCAUAAAAUUUUCAACCUCAAGGAUGAGAGGAACUCCAUCCACCGGAUCAUCAAUCAUGACUUGAAUGAAGUCAAACACCGAUUCUCUCUUCUUUUGCUUCUUGGGACACCAACCUUUGGACUGCUAUUAACACGUCUGUCCUCUCUAAUGGCAUACUUGUCCCAACGGCCAAGUAUUUUCUCUACUAAUCAUAUCAGCCUUCGUAAACUAUUCUCAUUGGAUGAGAUUAUUGUUGCUCCCAACCAAUGGGCCUCAGCAAAAGUCUCGGGCCAAACAAGUUCGUUGUCAAAUUUUAGUUCUAGAAUGAAUUAAAAGUCCUGAUUCAUUAGGCAUUCUCUAGCUUUCACAAUGAUUGUUACGUUUCAACCAGUUGGAAGAAAACCCUCAUUCCCAAAAAUAUCAAUGCCACCAUGAUCAUAGAUCAUGGAUUAGCAAUUCUUGAAGCCCUAAAUUUUACAGAGGAGGAGGGCUUAAGCAAGAUAUGGAUAUGCUCUGAUUCAGCUGUCUUCAAUAAUGCUACCCUUCGGAUGAGGUUGAAGGUUGUUGAGUUCAGCUUCAUCCCCACACAACUCAACACUUCUGCUCACAAUCUCAUCUUUUCUUGGAAGGCUGAUGCGACAGCCUUGCCUAGCAGCUGUAACUCUCUUUUUUUAAGUGCUAAUUCAUUUCCUCUUUCAGAAAAAAAAAAAACAAAACUGUAGCUGUAGCUGACAGUAAGUCCAAACUGUAGCUGUAGCAGACAUAUUGAGAGUGAUAGAUUUAUUUCUUUAUAGAGCCUUACCCUAUGGAUUGCGAACAAGACCAGGCUGUUGCCACUGAAACGGGGCCAUGUAUGGAUGGAGCCUUUUUUCAUUACAGUAAAUUGACAGACGUUUGAUGGAUCGUUGUCGCUAAGAGUUGUUUUUCUACCACAACUAUCGAAGAUGUCGUUGCUUAUAAAUUCCGACACAAGGCAACAGGCUUUCGUUUCCGCGUAAAAAAUGGAGACUAUGGGUUUGCAGUCACUUGCUCCAGAUGAUGAGGCUGUGGUUCGCAAGUCUUCAGGCAUUGAAAUAAGUAAUUUCUGCUUUAGUAUUAUGCCGUACAACCAACCACACACAUCUACAUACCAAAAAUCUAUAGAUUCCUUGGUUAUAUCUUAAUCUUAACAACAAGUCAAAAUGAAACUAUUGAUCUCAAUAUCUACUUUGAUAGGAUUUGGAAUUCCUCACUCAGUCUUAUGCUCAAAAUUGGUCCCAAACACCUUCUCUAGCAUGAACCCUUUUGUGUUUUAAUUUUUCGUUAUGUUAUGUCAUGUUAUUUUUUAAUUAAUUAUUUUAUAAUACGAGAAUUAUUUCGUCGAUUAAUCAAAUUGGAGGUUUUAUGAUUGAAUAAAGAUGAAGCAUCCCAAAUUGAACCAACUCAUAUGAGUGGAUCACUCCUACAAGAAUAUGUAGAUAGGUUUUGAAAGAAAUUUAACCCUUUAAAGUAAAAAAGAGUUCGAUUAAUACACACAUGGAAAAAAUGUUGAAAGUUAAACUAAAGUUUAUAUAAUAUUAUUUAUAGUUUGAGAGUGAGUAGACUGAUAUGAUGAGUUUGACACUGUUUAGAGUUUAUUAUAAAACUUAAGUUAAUAUACGAUUAUAUACAUGAUUUAUAGUUUCUAUUACGAGAGUGAGAGCAAGGGUGAUGGAUGCAAAACUAAUUAUAUCUCGUCUUUUUCCUAUAUUAUUGGAUGCAAAACUAAUCAUACCACUUGCAAGAUAUUCUAUUGGACGUCAAUUAAAGAUGAUGGAUAAGCUAAAACAUAAGGCAAUAAAAAAGGAGCGUACAGUCCCUGAUGACUCAUUCGUUAUCUUCUUUCUCAUAAAACGUGUUACUUACGAAACCAAACCAGAUUUAAGCCUAUAAAUUGCUACACAAGGUUGCAGGCUCUCGCCAUCCUCUCAUCACUUGCAUCCAGAUCAGAAUGGAGAACGUGAUUUCGCAGUCACACGUUCCAGGUGAUGAAGUGGUGAUUCGCAAGUCUGCAAGCUACCAUCCCACCGUUUGGGGCGAUUACUUUAUCUUACGGGCCCNNNNNNNNNNNNNNNNNNNNNNNNNNNNNNNNNNNNNNNNNNNNNNNNNNNNNNNNNNNNNNNNNNNNNNNNNNNNNNNNNNNNNNNNNNNNNNNNNNNNNNNNNNNNNNNNNNNNNNNNNNNNNNNNNNNNNNNNNNNNNNNNNNNNNNNNNNNNNNNNNNNNNNNNNNNNNNNNNNNNNNNNNNNNNNNNNNNNNNNNNNNNNNNNNNNNNNNNNNNNNNNNNNNNNNNNNNNNNNNNNNNNNNNNNNNNNNNNNNNNNNNNNNNNNNNNNNNNNNNNNNNNNNNNNNNNNNNNNNNNNNNNNNNNNNNNNNNNNNNNNNNNNNNNNNNNNNNNNNNNNNNNNNNNNNNNNNNNNNNNNNNNNNNNNNNNNNNNNNNNNNNNNNNNNNNNNNNNNNNNNNNNNNNNNNNNNNNNNNNNNNNNNNNNNNNNNNNNNNNNNNNNNNNNNNNNNNNNNNNNNNNNNNNNNNNNNNNNNNNNNNNNNNNNNNNNNNNNNNNNNNNNNNNNNNNNNNNNNNNNNNNNNNNNNNNNNNNNNNNNNNNNNNNNNNNNNNNNNNNNNNNNNNNNNNNNNNNNNNNNNNNNNNNNNNNNNNNNNNNNNNNNNNNNNNNNNNNNNNNNNNNNNNNNNNNNNNNNNNNNNNNNNNNNNNNNNNNNNNNNNNNNNNNNNNNNNNNNNNNNNNNNNNNNNNNNNNNNNNNNNNNNNNNNNNNNNNNNNNNNNNNNNNNNNNNNNNNNNNNNNNNNNNNNNNNNNNNNNNNNNNNNNNNNNNNNNNNNNNNNNNNNNNNNNGUGUGUGUGUGUGUGUGUAUAUAUGUAUAUAUACAUACAUAUAUAUAUGUAUGUAUAUAUAUAUUUUAUGUUAUGUUUUCUAAAAUGGUAUUAAAGUAGAAUGGAUAAUAUCUUAAUAAUAUUCUGAUUUAAUCAUAUUACGAUUCUAUGGCCAAAAUAUGUCUGGCUAUAGAAUAUCUUAGAUAAUACUUUUGUUAUGUUUUUAUGAGUAUGUGUAUGCAUGUGUACAUGCGCAUAUAUAUAUAUAUAUAUUCAUUGAUGAUGCAGAGGUGUGAUGCAAGGAUGAAAUAGAGAGCUGAAGAGCCGAGGGGGCAAGUAAAGAGCAUGUUCAAUCAUACUACUGAUCUACUGCAGACCAUGGAACUGAUUGAUUCAAUCCAGCUUCUUGGAUUGGAUUAUCACUUUCGAAUCGGAAUAAGCGAAGCAUUAAGUCAAUCCAUGAUGCGGAUAUUGAUAACAAGGAUAUUAUGUGUCCCCAAGCAGUAUUUGUAUGUGUGAUUCAAAACAAUACGAUCUUCUUUAAUCAUCUUUUUUUUAAUUCACUCAUAGACGUUGGCAGUACCAAAAAUAUUUUCUCCGGUAAAAUAGACAUAAAAAUCACACACAAAAGUCAUUGUAUUGAUUAUCACGUAAUCACUUAAAACGGUAAAUUAAUUUUGAUAAUAUGACUUUGUUUUUUUCUCAAAACAGAAAAUCUUAUGUAUUUCUGUAGUUGUCUUUAACAAGUUCAAAGAAGAGGGAGGGAGUUUCAUGUCUACCUUGGGGAGUGAUGUGAAAGGACUGUUAAGCUUGUACAACGCAGCCUAUCUUGGGACGCAUGGGGAGAUCAUUCUUGAUGAAGCCAUCUCUUUUACGAGGAAUAGCCUAGUGUCUGCAUUAGCUGAUCUUAAACCACCGUUAACAACGCAAGUGUCUCUUGACCUCGAGACACCUCUCUGUAGGAGAUUUAGAAGGCUCUUGGCAAGAGAAUACAUAUCUAUAUACCAAGAGGAUGCCACACGAGAUGAUGCCAUCCUGGAGCUUGCAAAGUUGGACUUCAAUUUGUUGCAAUCUCUUCAUCGCGAGGAGCUUGAGAACAUCACCAAGUAAGCUCCUCCUCACUUUUGAAUUCCCUGGAGCUAUAUUUCUUCUGGAUUUUUAUAAAGAAAAAAAGAUACAAUCAAGUUGCAAAUGUAAACAAGUGAAGACUAAUUGCUGAGAUUGGUUCCUCCUCCCAUCAAACUUAAACUGAUAUGUAAUACCAUUUUGAUUUGUGAACGACUUGAAGGUGGUGGAAUGAUUUAGCCCCCUCAAAACAUCUCAGUUUUGCUCGAGAUAGAUUGGUGGAAUGCUAUUUCUGGAUCCUGGAGGUAUACUUUGAACCCUACUAUUCUCGUGCACGAGUGAUAACAACCAAGGUGGCUGCCCUUACUUCAAUUCUGGAUGACAUGUAUGAUGUCUAUAGCACAUUGGAGGAGAGUCAACGACUAACUGAGGCAAUUCAAAGGU